rnacentral:misc_RNA from 1 species
CGAAAUCUCCGAAACUAUAACAGCUUCAAACUUGAAAUUUGGCAAGUACGUUUCUUAUAGGGCGCAGACAUUUGCUAAGAACGGAUUUUAUGAAACUCGACCCCUAAGGGGAUAAAGCGGGGGUUGGAAGUUUGUAUGAAAGUCCUAUGUUUUUGAAGUAAGAGACUUGAAAUUUAAAAUGUAUGCUUUAUAGGUGGUGACAAGGUGUCCAAAUAAUGUAUCUUUAGAAAUCAACUCCCUUUUGGGGUUAAAACGGGGGAUCGUAGGCUGACUCACUGAUCACGAAAUGUCCGAAACUAUAACACCUACAAACUUGAAAUUUAGCAGGUAGGCUCCUUAUAGGUCGUAGACAUCCGCUAAGAACGAAUUUCACGAAAUUCGACCUCUAAGGCGAUAAAACGGGGGUUGGAAGUUUGAAUGAAAGUCCUAUGUUUUUGAAGUAAGAUACUUGAAAUAUAAAAUGUAUGCUCUAUAGAUAGUGAGAAGGUGUCCAAAUAAUGUAUCUUUAGAAACCAACUCCCUUUUGGGGUUAAAACGGGGGAUGGUAGGUUGACU